rnacentral:rRNA from 1 species
GACGAACGCUGGCGGCGUGCUUAACACAUGCAAGUCGAGCGGUAAGGCCCUUUCGGGGGUACACGAGCGGCGAACGGGUGAGUAACACGUGGGUGACCUGCCCUCAGCUCUGGGAUAAGCCUGGGAAACCGGGUCUAAUACUGGAUAUGACUCCAUGACGCAUGUUGUGGGGUGGAAAGCCUUGUGCGGCUGAGGAUGGGCCCGCGGCCUAUCAGCUUGUUGGUGGGGUGAUGGCCUACCAAGGCGACGACGGGUAGCCGGCCUGAGAGGGCGACCGGCCACACUGGGACUGAGACACGGCCCAGACUCCUACGGGAGGCAGCAGUGGGGAAUCUUGCGCAAUGGGCGAAAGCCUGACGCAGCGACGCCGCGUAAGGGAUGACGG